UCCGGCGUCAAUGGCUUUCCUGUCACUUCCUCCAUGGCUGACCAGACAUCCUUAGGCUGAAUGUACCUAACACCCUCGAGGGUCUCCUCGUAGUACCUGUUGAACGCUCUGCCGAAUAUGAGCUUCCGUCCUGCUGUCAUGAACACGUGUUUCCCCAAGUACUCCAGGGGACUUAGACCUGGAAUGAUCAUUGGCUCAGACUAUCCAGCACCUCGAAACGAGCACUUUGUCUAGAGAAGACACGUGGUACGCUUUGCGAUGGUGGUUGUGCAGAAGACUGACGACUUCCUCUUGUACCUGGAUGCGGAUCUCCCUUCAUCCGCAGAGCCUCCUCCAAGGCGAUUUUUCUCUAGGAUAAUUAGACUGUGUCAGAGAUUGUGACGAAUCCAAGAUAAGCACCCUUAUCGUACCGUGUCACUGACUUCCACGUGUGGCAACAGACGAUCUGGCGACACUGGCGACAUGGCUGAGGAACUCUGAUGAUGCGGGGUUGGCUUAGAUACUGAUAUCUCAUUCUUUCUAGUGGCAGGUGCUGGUUCCAAAGUAAGUGCAUGCCAGCUCAGGGUGUCGGUCUCCUGUAAAAACGUAUCGUUUGAAAAACCCCUGGGUAGUUUUACCUUUGUGAAAUAUGCAGGGACGCAACAGAAGGUAACAGCAAUCCAAUUUUAGAUUACAUAAAUAUUUCAAACUGUUAAAUUUUCCUGUACAGCUUCCAGGGGUACGACUUCAGUUCAGAGAAGACAUAAGUUGGUUCGUUAAUAAUGAAUUUGAGUGGCUAUCCGCAAAAUGUGAACGAUACAUUUCUCGCAAGUAUCCUUGAGCUAAAUUUCCCAGAGACAGUGCCCUUCUCUAGGGUGUAAUUGAAAUGAAUAACCUGAUCCUGCGAGUUGGUUCUGAGGUCCAAUACAAGAGUGGUUCGCUCCCGAGGGUUACAGGUCGCAGGAGUUUCCGGAGUGGGUCUACACGUGAGUGCUGGACCACUAGCAAGAGUAGGAGCUGGGGUCAGAGGUCGUGAGUCCGUUUCAGUAUAUUUGCGAAACAAUUCCUCAGGGACGGCCGUUGCCUCGGUUCCACCAGCUACGUUCCCUGGUCCUCCUGUACCAGCAGCGUCGACACCACCAGCACCGGCCAACAGCGUCGCACGGAUCAUCUCCAUUUCCGCAGGUAUCCUUCGCACGUCGCACCACCUCCUUGGCUUCGCAAUCUGCUGGAUGAUUACACAGCACCGAGCAGCCAUAAGGAUAAGGGUUAAAGAGUCCAGCAAAGGGUCGUAGAGUAAAGGGUGCCGGUCUAGCUGACCCAGAGAGUUCGAUCCUCUGAAAACGAUGAGAAGGUUAACAGGAAAAGUGGAUAAUUAUAAAUAAUCAACAGACUUAAGGAUUGGCUCAGCAGGCAGCUAAGUACCUGGGCUCAAUGUUCUUGAAGAUGUCUGAACUAUCGAGCAAGUGAACCACGGUUAUACAAGACAAUGGAGGAAUUAUGUGUUUCAAUUUGCAUAGGGAAACGACUAUGGAAAAUCCCUUAAGCUUUAUAGCGUUAAAAGCGUCAUGGCAGAGGUGCUCAAAGCAAUAGUCAAGGGUUCUCAGCAGAUACAAAAAAAAAGAACUAAGAGACUGGUUAGUCAACAGGUACAAAUGUACCAAACCCUGGUAUCCUGACAAGUAAAGAAACCACAGACCUAAAGGAAUCCUAGAAAAGACUUCGCUGGAGUCUCAAAGCAUUUCUAGUCUAGAAACAAGGAAAAGAUAAUAUGCAACGAUCUAUCACACAGCUGUGUAAAGAAACGGUGGGUCAUAGCACCACGUCAAAAGGUAAUUACCGAGUUCAGAGGUAGUGGUCGUAAACAGCGUAAUAUCAUACACAGCGAAUCGAUAAGAGCUCGUCGACCUUAUACAAAUGAGAAGAAAAAAAGAAACGUAAAUAAAAUAUUUAAACUAUAAAGAUCGAGUUUCAGAUUGAUAAGUAUGUUUUUUUUUACAAUUUUGUAAGUUCCCACAGUAUCAAAAUAAUAUUUGAGUAAAUCCAAAUCCUGUCUUGAGACUGGUGGUUAUUAUAAAUUGAACAGACUGCGUAAUAAUCGAGCAAUCUCUUUUUAAUUACCAAAAAAAAAAAAACAGGCCGUUCGUUUACCCUUAAGAAAGCCGGAGGGUUAGUAUCACGGUAAGGGUAGGUUAACUCUUGACGUGGUUCCAAUCAUACGGUCAUGCCGUUUAAACGGCGUUAAACGGAGUCACGUAGGUGCCAGCAGGUCGCCGCCUUCUGGAACAAGGGUAUACCCCAUUGAUUUUGUGCGCUUCCAAUCAAUAUUCCCUCCUCGAGAUUAUCUCGGCACGGCUCGCGCCAAAGUUUUCGUACUACGCCGAAAAAGAGUACAGGGGUUGGUACGGAGUAUCAGGUAGACGGUAUGGGGAAUCUGGAGAUCGAUGUCCAACAACGCCGUACGGUGCUGCCACCAAUUCACAUCUGGACAGUUACGGUUAUUCGGCAUUCCCGUAUCUCAGGGUGAGUGGGCCCUCGGCACCGGAACUCGUAGUGUGUAUAAUAUUUUCAGUAACCCUCCAGAAAAAGCCUAUGGACAUCCUGAAGAUGUUAUUCAGGAAAUUCUAAUUUAUAAACAGAUGACAAAACAGCAAAUUGCGAGAAUUAACAUUGAACGAAGAGACCAGAUUGAAGAAUAUAAAAAGAUUAUUUCAAGUACUGCCGAUUGACUAGGUCGAACGUCACUACAUGCUAAACAAGAUUCCUCGAGAUUAUUGUUUACUCAUCUACUAUCUAUCUUGAGCUUGGAUUACUACAAGGGCAGGGAUUGUAUAAGUUGAAUGGAAUACCAAGGGGAAACGGUCCCCUGUGUUUUCUACGAAGAAACAGACGUUACUUAGAGUAUGGUUAUAAGGUAACAGUCAAUAGGUAAGUACUGGCUUAUAAUACAGCUGGUUUAUCGUACGUCUACCUCAAACGUGAAUUUACACAUGUUAUAUCUUUUCUUCUGCGAGUCACAUUAUUUCCUGCUGCCUACUACUCCCCACGGAGUACCUCCAUUAUCUACUAUGGUGUUUGGACUCUAUAAUGUCGAGUGACUUUUCCGCAUAACUCUUUACCGUACAUAAGAAUAUCUUUACUUCAAGGGUAGGUGUGGUGAGCGCGUGGCGGCUGGAAAGUAGGGGUAAAAAGAGGACGUUUGCCGCAGUCCCGUCUCAACGAAGGGGUCCUUGGUGGUUACAAAAAGCAGAAUAAAAUGAUAAACUUAAUUUGAGAUAGUUAUGAAAAUAUACAUUAAUGAUAAAGUUCGAACACGUGUAAUAAGGAGGUCGAAGUACAAAUAAUUUGAUAGUAUAAGGCAGUGUCGCAAACUGCUUCGCGCACGCACUAAAAAACAACUAGAUUGCAUUAACAUAGCUGGAAGUUGUUUCGUGAUUGGCUACAGCAGUACACAGCUGAUACCGAGAUUGUUGAAACUUUCUAUAUGGCAAAGAGAUAAUAUUGUUUAUAAACAGCAGGGCCCAAUGCUGACAAAUAUGUUGUAGUUAUUCCCGAGUAGAGUCAACCGUGACAGUUCUUAGCUAUGAUGCAGAUAGAAAAUAUAUUCUCUAAAGUGUAUAACGACAGUGGCUGUAUGAGAAUGGCAAACCAAGUUUAAAAAGUCUUGAUGCGGUUCUACGUGAAGCUAAGAAACCUCCUUGUAUAGCGGUAUAAGAGAGCGUGAGGCGAAUCCGUUACGUCAGAGGAUGUCGGGCUGGUAAUUUAGCAAGCGGCACCAGAAGCAGCAGUAGCAGCAGCAGCGAGUCUAGGAAAAAGGUAGUGUCAGGAAGGAAAGAAUCAGUAUGGAGAAAGGGGGCGUUGUACUACGUGGGGCACGAGGCACCUUAGCCAGGGUACCUUUGG